CACGCCGUAAACGAUGGAUACUAGGUGUAGGAGGUAUCGACCCCUCCUGUGCCGGCGUUAACACAAUAAGUAUCCCACCUGGGGAGUACGACCGCAAGGUUGAAACUCAAAGGAAUUGACGGGGGCCCGCACAAGCAGUGGAGUAUGUGGUUUAAUUCGAAGCAACGCGAAGAACCUUACCAGGGCUUGACAUACAGUGGAAUAUGCUAGAGAUAGUAUAGCUCUUCGGAGCCGCUGUACAGGUGG
rnacentral:rRNA from 1 species